GAUGAACGCUAGCGACAGGCCUAACACAUGCAAGUCGAGGGGCAGCGGGGAGUGGCAACACUCCGCCGGCGACCGGCGCACGGGUGAGUAAACGCGUAUGCAACCUGCCCGCACCAGGGGGAUAACCGGGAGAAAUCCCGUCUAAUACCGCGUAACGCCUUAAGGGGGCAUCCCCAUGAGGCCAAAGGUUUUCCGGGAGCGGAUGGGCAUGCGUGACAUUAGCUAGUUGGCGGGUAACGGCCCACCAAGGCGACGAUGUCUAGGGGUUCUGAGAGGAAGGUCCCCCACAUUGGUACUGAGACACGGACCAAACUCCUACGGGAGGCAGCAGUGAGGAAUAUUGGUCAAUGGGCGGGAGCCUGAACCAGCCAAGUCGCGUGAGGGAAGACGGCCCUACGGGUUGUAAACCUCUUUUGCCGGGAGCAACGCUGCGGACGAGUCCGCAGGUGAGAGUA
rnacentral:rRNA from 1 species